GUAGGAUUGAACACAGUUGGUGAAACUUGGGCCGUCUGCCUCAAGUCCCCGCUUGGCAAAACCACUCCCUCCUGGUGGACGCCCUCACCAUGAAGGUGGCUGGCCAAGAGAAGCCUGCCCGGCGACGCUGAGGCACCGAACAUGAGCAGGGGAGGAAGGAAUGCCUGGGAGCAGCUGAGCCGAGCCCCUGCCACCAGCCUCCUCCGCACGCCCGUGGAAUCAGCACUUUCUGCUUCCCGCCCCUGAGAGCCUUGCUCUGGGGCCACUCACAGCCAAUUAAGUGGGGAUGUUGUAAGAGACUCUAAAAUACGUGGAGCUGGCUGAGGACGCGGGACCGACCCCAUUAUGUGUGUGUGAGGCUGAUUAAAGUGUUACCUGUCA
ensembl:lncRNA novel transcript, antisense to FBXO18